AUUACCUUCUUUCUCUCUAGGAUAAACUGAAGAACUGUGCGAAUAAUUUUAACUACUCGGACAAUGGAUGAGAUGUUAUCUUGUAGCAAUGGAAAAAGCAGUUGACUGAUCUAAAAAUCCAGAUGUGACCUAUUGAACAGAAUUCUCCCUGAUGAGGGACCCAUGGAGAAAGUGGCUUGUGCCACUCCAAUCUCUCGAAAGGAAAUGUGAACCUGUAGGAUCCAGAGACUUGCAACAAAGUGAGUGUAAAUUCUGGAUAAGGUUUUUGUUCUGUGUAGUAGCUGUAAGAUCUUUAUAGAUUGUAUUGGAAAAUACUUUGCCAAUGAACACAUUGUUACCAUGAUGAAGCUGCAUGGCCAAACAGUGACUAACCUGGCAGCUCCUAACCAAUGAAUAGCGUCCAGACCUGUUAUAACGUAGUACGUGGAAAUGUUAAACCAACUC